AUACAGGAUCUCUCAAGGAGACUCCAACCAUAAUCCACAAGGAGAAGCUCAAAUCCAUGGAAUUGAAGCCCUCAAUUCGUGCAUGAAGCUGAAAUUUGUCAUCUAGGGUAUAAUAAACCAAGAGUUUGAUCUUGUCAAGCUAGGUGGAAGCUUGGAAGGAACGGGUCAAACAAGCUAACGGGUCAAGGAGUGUUUAAAAGAGGAAAAGGUGAAGGAAUAACUCAUGAAAUCGGAUGAAGAUCAAGUCCAGACGCGAACCGAACACAAGAAUUGUCCAUGAAGCUUCCGCAUGCUUUUAUUUGUAA